GACAUGACUCUCGGCAAUGGAUAUCUCGGCUCUCGCAUCGAUGAAGAGCGCAGCGAAAUGCGAUACGUGGUGCGAAUUGCAGAAUCCCGCGAACC
rnacentral:rRNA from 2 species